ensembl:lncRNA
GCUUCUGCGUGGGCCUGUCUCUGGGACGAUUUCUUUCUUCACUGCAGGUUCUGCAAAGCUCCCGUAAUCCACCUUAACGCCUAGAGCAAGAUCCAUGCCCUGUGACUAAGCUUACAACACAUGGGACGAAGGAAAGCUGUGACUUGUCUUGGGGCUGUGGUCCUUGGCCCUGGGAGAGGAGCUGACCCCACGUCUCUCCUCCCUGCCCACACCGACUGCCUUCACUCUGACCCUCUUCACCUCCCUCCUCAAGUUAGGGUCUUGCUGUUGCUGAAAUGAAUCACCACAAACCUCAACAACUUAAAGCAACACACUUUCAUCACCUCACAGUUCCGGAGGUCAAAGUCCUGUGAGUCUCACUGGCGAAGAUCAAGGUGUUAACAGGACUGCAUUCCUUGUGAAGCCUUCAGGGAGAGUGCGUCUCCUCAACCUUAUUUACCUUCUGGAG